GGCCUCUCACUGCUGUGGCCUCUCCCAUUGCGGCGCACAGGCUCCGGACGCGCAGGCCCAGCGGCCAUGGCUCACGGGCCCAGCCGCUCCACGGCACGUGGGAUCCUCCCGGACCGGGGCACGAACCCGCGUCCCCUGCAUCGGCAGGCAGACUCUCAACCACUGCGCCACCAGGGAAACCCCAUUAUUAUAGUUUUUGAUGCAUGCCUUUUAUUUUAAAACUUUGUGUCACCUUGUGUACAGCAGAUGCUUAAUAAAUGUUUAUGAAGAAGAGGCUGAGCACAGUGCUAUGUUUAUGAAGUUGACACCCAAUAAGUAUUUGGGACUGCAGUGGGAGACUGAAGUCCCUCUGGCAGACAGCUCCUGUGCUCUGAGUUUCUGUGCAUUGGACCUGACGGAACCAUGGAUUGGCUCUUCUUUGUGCAGCCCUUUCUGUCUAUUCCAUAUGGCACACACAGCCAUGCUUGGACCACUGCUGAGUGUAGUUGGCAUAUGUUGUUUUUCCUUGCCAGCAUCCAUUCCCUUUUUUGGUUGCUCCAUCUGAUUUUCCUUAGGAAACUCUCCUACUCUUAGUACAAUUGGCUUACUUUUUCUGUCUCCCCCGUUCCUCUUCACUUGAGCACUGCAGGAGUGUACAUGAGACUCAGUAGGUGUAUUUCUCCCUUUGAAAAUUCAGGCCAAUUAAAGUUGGGCCCAGGCCUGCUGAUCAACUGGGAAGGAGCUGUUCUCUUUCUGCUGAGAUUAUCAGCAGAAAAGAUGGUGAAAUCCAGGGCUACCAGGGGCCUAUGAGUGUCACCAACUCAGACCCAGAGAAGAAAAGAGAGUGUCUUAGUCUGUUUGGGCUACUGUAACAGACAUUCUAUAGACUGGGUGGCUUUUAAACAACAGAAAUUUAUUUCUCACAGUUCUAGAGGCUGGGAAGGCUCAAGAUCAAGGCACUAGUAGAUUCAGUGUCUGGUGAGGGCCUGCUUCCUGGUUCAUACACAGCUAUCUUCUCACUGUGUCCUCACAUGGCAGAAGGGGUGAGGGAGCUCUCUGGGGCCUCUUUUAUAAGGGCACUAAUCAUACUCAUGCGGGCUCCAUCCUCAUGACCUAAUCAUCUCCCAAAGGCCUCACCUUCAAAUUCCAUCACAUUGGGGAUUAGGUUUCAACAUACGAAUCUGGGAGAGACACAAACAUUCCAUCUCUAGUAGAGACCAACCCUUAUUGAGUGCCUGGAUCCAUUUAUGUUUAAAGCUAGCAUCACUUCCUGAAUUUUCCAGAUACUUGAGCCAGUAAAUUUCCUUUUAUACUUAAACUAGUCUGAGUGAUGUUUUUAUCAUUCACAAUUAGUUGCUGAUUAAUACCCAGAGGAUUAUCACAGAGGCCACAAAGAUCUAGACAAAAAGUAUUAUACAGAGUUGACACACAGCAGAGUUAGAUUCCCUUCAUGUUGGGACUGUAAGAAUCCAGUUUUCAGGGACUUCCCUGGUGGUCCAUUGGUAAAGAAUCUGUCUUACAAUGUAGGGGAUGUGGGUUCCAUCCGUGGUCAGGGAACUGGGAUCCCACAUGCUGCGAGGGGUAACUAAGCCCGUGCACCACAACUACUGAGCUCGCGCGCCUCAACUAGAGAGCCCGCGUGCUGCAAACUACAGAGCCCACGCACCCUGGAGCCUGCGCACCACAACUACAGAGCCAUGUGCUCUGAAGCCUGCGUGCUACAACUAGAGAGUAGCCCACGUGCCGCAGCGAAAGAUCCUGAAAGAUCCUGCAUGCUUCAACGAAGAUCCCGCGUGCUGCAACU